AUGUAUUAAUUGGAGGGGCCUACUUCACAUCCUCUAGUGGGGUCCGGGGGUACCCCCCCGGGAAGAUCUUUAACAUUUUAAAGUAAAAUGCUUCAAUCUGGUGCACUUUGAGCGCCCAA